UACGUAGGGGGCAAGCGUUGUCCGGAAUCAUUGGGCGUAAAGAGCGCGUAGGCGGUCCGGUAAGUCCGCUCUGAAAGUCCGGGGCUCAACCCUUGAAAGCCGGCCGAUACUGUCGGACUAGAGUCCGGAAGAGGCGAGUGGAAUUCCCGGUGUAGCGGUGAAAUGCGCAGAUAUCGGGAGGAACACCAAUGGCGAAGGCAGCUCGCUGGGACGGUACUGACGCUGAGGCGCGAAAGCGUGGGGAGCAAACAGG
rnacentral:rRNA from 1 species